rnacentral:rRNA from 1 species
AGUAACGCGUGGAUAACCUGCCUUGCACUGGGGGAUAACACUUAGAAAUAGGUGCUAAUACCGCAUAAGCGCACAGAGCCGCAUGGCUCAGUGUGAAAAACUCCGGUGGUGUAAGAUGGAUCCGCGUCUGAUUAGCUGGUUGGCGGGGUAGAAGCCCACCAAGGCGACGAUCAGUAGCCGGCCUGAGAGGGUGAACGGCCACAUUGGGACUGAGACACGGCCCAAACUCCUACGGAAGGCAGCAG